rnacentral:rRNA from 1 species
UACGAAGGGGGCUAGCGUUGCUCGGAAUCACUGGGCGUAAAGGGUGCGUAGGCGGGUCUUUAAGUCAGGGGUGAAAUCCUGGAGCUCAACUCCAGAACUGCCUUUGAUACUGAAGAUCUUGAGUUCGGGAGAGGUGAGUGGAACUGCGAGUGUAGAGGUGAAAUUCGUAGAUAUUCGCAAGAACACCAGUGGCGAAGGCGGCGGCCUGGACCGAUACUGACGCUGAGGUGCGAAAGCGUGGGGAGCAAACAGG